CAAAAAAUAUCAAUGCUGGACACAAUGUGUUUAGUAAUUGGAAUGAGUACAAUUUAAAUCCCUUAACAAGUAACAAUUAGAGGGCAAGUCUGGUGCCAGCAGCCGCGGUAAUUCCAGCUCUAAUAGCGUAUAUUAAUAUUGUUGCAGUUAAAAAGCUCGUAGUUGAACUUAGAAUUAUUACAAGUUAUUUUACUUGAUUGUAAAAUGCUUGCUUAAUUCUUAUCUACUAGAUACUCUAUUCUGUACUUAAUUGUAUGGAAUAUCACCUAGCCAGUGGAACUUUGGUGAAAUAAUGCCUUUUUUUAAUACCAGAGUGUAAAAACUUGAAGUGUUAAAUUGGGAUAACAUUAUUUUAUUGAAGCGGGGUUCUAGUUAAUUUACUUUGAGUAAAUUAGAGUGUUCAAAGCAGCCUCUUGGGGCUUUGAAUAGAUUUAGCAUGGGAUAAUAGAAUAGGAUUUGAUAAUCUAUUUGUUGGUUUGAAUUAAUCAAAUAAUGAUUAAUAGGACAGUUGGGGGCAGUUCAUAUUAAGUGGUUAGCGGUGAAU
rnacentral:rRNA from 1 species